GAAUUGGAAGGGUGAUGUGGAGCGUUCGGCAAUGUUGGAAUGACAUGCAGCUUCGAAGACAUUCUUGAUGCUUUCCAAGCCUAUAGCUGUACAGAGAUGGAGGGAUCUCAUGCAGUUUUCUUAGAAAGUUUGAUGCAUUGUGUCUCACUCUGAUCAAUGGCUUAGCGUUUUGUAUGCGCCUUUUACCUUGUC
rnacentral:pre_miRNA from 1 species